CGUCAGCGACCCCACCGCCUGCCCGCUCCCCGGCCAUGCAACCAACCCGAUCGCCGCCGGUUCCGGCGAUGU
rnacentral:sRNA from 1 species